rnacentral:rRNA from 1 species
CCAGCAGCUGCGGUAAUUCCAGCACCAAUAGCGUAUACUCAAGUUGUUGCGUUUAAAAAGCUCGUAGUCGUAACCCGGGGAGCAGUUGUACGGUGGUCUUUUCGAUUUUAAUCGGUUAGUACCUCUACAGUUGUACUCUAUAGCAUUAGUUGUGAGCUGGUCUUAAUUGGUUGGUUUAUGACGAUAUGCUGUAGCUCCGUGAAUAAGUGGGAGUGUUCAAAGCAAAUUUGGAUACUGUACCUUCUAGCACGGUAAGCGGUAAAAAGGACAAGAUUUCUUUAGCCGUUAGUCGGGUGCAUUGUCAAUGAUUAAUAGGGAAAAAUUGAGUUAGCCAUAUGUCUCGGCGAGAGGUGAAAUUCUAUGACCCUUGACAGAUGAUCUAGAGCGAAAGCAGCUAACU